GCCUACGGGGGGCAGCAGUGGGGAAUAUUGCACAAUGGGGGAAACCCUGAUGCAGCGACGCCGCGUGAGUGAAGAAGUAUUUCGGUAUGUAAAGCUCUAUCAGCAGGGAAGAAAAAAGACGGUACCUGACUAAGAAGCCCCGGCUAACUACGUGCCAGCAGCCGCGGUAAUACGUAGGGGGCAAGCGUUAUCCGGAUUUACUGGGUGUAAAGGGAGCGUAGACGGUUCUGCAAGUCUGAAGUGAAAGCCCGUGGCUUAACCGCGGAACGGCUUUGGAAACUGUGGAACUGGAGUGCUGGAGAGGG
rnacentral:rRNA from 1 species